AGGGUUUGAUCCUGGCUCAGAACGAACGCUGGCGGCGUGCUUAACACAUGCAAGUCGAACGCGAAAUCGGGCACUCAAUUUUGCUUUUCAAACAUUAACUGAUAAAACGACCAGAGAGGUUGUUCCAGUUUAAAGAGUGAAAAGCAGGCUUGAGUGCCUGAGAGUAGAGUGGCGCACGGGUGAGUAACGCGUAAAUAAUCUACCCCUGCAUUCGGGAUAACCCACCGAAAGGUGUGCUAAUACCGGAUACGUUCUCUUUAUCGCGAGAUAAGGAGAAGAAAGGUGGCCUCUGAUAUAAGCUACUGUGCGGGGAGGAGUUUGCGUACCAUUAGCUAGUUGGUAGGGUAAUGGCCUACCAAGGCAACGAUGGUUAGCGGGUCUGAGAGGAUGAUCCGCCACACUGGAACUGGAACACGGACCAGACUCCUACGGGAGGCAGCAGUGAGGAAUAUUGCGCAAUGGGGGCAACCCUGACGCAGCGACGCCGCGUGGAUGAUGAAGGCCUUCGGGUCGUAAAAUCCUGUCAGAUGGAAAGAAAUGUUAUAUGGAUAAUACCUGUAUAGCUUGACGGUACCAUCAAAGGAAGCACCGGCUAACUCC
rnacentral:rRNA from 1 species